CCCUGCAUGGGCGGAGGAGGGAGUUGCCAGCACCCAGAGACCUGCUUGUCAGGAUACUAGUUGCCCAAGACUAGGGAAAGCCUGCCAGAGGGGGCCCCAAAACAAACUCCUGCUUUCAGAGAGUCUGCAGGUGGGCCAACCUCUAGGUCGGGGCUCAUUCCAGGACGCCUGAGCUUCGAUCUCAGCCCUGCGGAGAACUACCGAAGCAAGGAGAUCCUGGAGGAGGAGCCAGGUGUGCUCCCGUUGACUUCUGUGGCCUCCUCUGGGAGGCCUUAAUUCUGGACCUCUCAAAGAGUCGGGCUGAACUGCUGUCAUUGUCCCAAUCUGAGUCGGGCAGGUCCCAGCGGUUGUUGAUGUCACUGUACUGGCCCUGGAUCUCCAAGCUGUCGAAGUCUGUGGGUGACAGAGUGCUGCUCAUGGUGGUGGGUGGCUUCCUGUUCCUACAAAAAGACAUGGCUGGUGAGGAGUGCCUUGGGGAUGCUGAGCCUGCCAAUCAUCAUGCCCUUCUUCUUGUUUGUAUUUUUCCUGACAGGGUUUUCUCUGUGUAGCCCUGCCUGUCCUGGAACUUGCUUUGCAGACUGGGCUGGCCUCCAACUCAGAGAUUUGCCUGCCUCGGCCUCCCAAAUGCUGAGAUUAAAGUGUGUGCCACCA